GAGUGGAGAAACAGAAACAUAUGAGCUUAACACCGUAAUACUCUUAUCAUAGAAAUAGAAGCAGUCCUCAAUUCCCGCCCUCUAACUUCUAUCUCCACCGAUCCAAAUGAUCUCCUAGCCCCCACUCCCGGACAUUUCCUCAUUGGCGAUUCAUUAAUGUGCUUACGUGAUCGAGAUUUCAGGGACAUUCCAUCGAACCGACUCUCCAAAUGGCAGCAUAUCCAACAGCUUAAACAACAUUUUUGGAACCGCUGGCAUAAGGAGUAUUUGAACGAGCUAACCAACCGCAAUAAAUGGAGCAAGGGUGGACACAGCAUCCAAAAGGGCACAAUCGUCAUCCUCAGAGAGGACAACGUUCCCUCCAUGCAUUGGCCUCUGGGCCGAGUUAUCAAGAUUCAUCCAGGCGCCGAUGGUGUCAUCCGGACAGCUACAGUUCAGACGGCAAAGAGCAUUUUGGAUCGGGGCGUCAAAAGGCUUGUCCCACUGCCAAUUCAACCCGAUCUCGAGAAACCCGAACAACUAGCCACCGAGACGAAAUAAGAUGGGAACUUCAACCACACCUCCCUAGUUUGAUCGGUACCCUCUCAACGGGGGGAGAAUGUUACGCCAUGCGGCUUACCAUAGGUCAUAUUCUUAACUAUCGAUCGCGGCACUAUAAUGUCGCAGAUGGAUCGUCGUGUCUGCCCGGCAAACAAACAUUGUAGUGGCAAGCGCAUGGUUCAUUAAGCAGGGCGACUUCCAGAAACGUCGACUCGUGGCCCGUAUUUUACCUCGCGUAAAAGAAUGUGGCGUGAUCCGAACGUAGUGGGGGUCGCCUUCCAGAAAAAACGAAAAAAAUCGAAAGGCGUUCAGAACUUUUCGAGAUGUCGAACCGUCAACACAUGUGGAAGAGUAUCUUUUUGCUUGAAAUGAAAAGUUGAUAUAGGAGUAAUAAUAUGGAUAGAGAUCAAAAACUGUUAGGGCAGAAAUUACACGUUUGAACUUUAUAGUUCAGUAUAGUUCAAAUAGAAAUUAUAUAGAAUUAUUUAAUAAUUUGUAUUCCACUGGAAUAAAAAUUUAAUUUCUGUCUUUAUCAAAUCUCUAUUUCAGAGUAUUUGUACGUAUGUACUUAUCGUCUGCUGUAUGAUCGAAUAUCGAAUAGGCGCUUGGCCAUGGAUCGCUGCAUUAGGUUUUCGUAAUCCCCGAAACCCAGACAAACCACUAUGGAAGUGCGGAGGUUCCCUGAUAUCGGCUAGGCAUGUUUUGACCGCAGCACAUUGUGCACAUAUGGAUGGAAUAGAAAACAUACACAAUCAUAAUAUUGCCAUUCUUAGAUUGGUGGAGGAGGUGCCAUU